rnacentral:rRNA from 1 species
AUUGAACGCUGGCGGCAUGCCUUACACAUGCAAGUCGAACGGCAGCGGGGGAGAAGCUUGCUUUUCCUGCCGGCGAGUGGCGAACGGGUGAGUAAUACAUCGGAACGUGCCCUGUAGUGGGGGAUAACUAGUCGAAAGAUUAGCUAAUACCGCAUACGACCUGAGGGUGAAAGUGGGGGACCGCAAGGCCUCAUGCUAUAGGAGCGGCCGAUGUCUGAUUAGCUAGUUGGUGGGGUAAAGGCCUACCAAGGCGACGAUCAGUAGCUGGGCUGAGAGGACGAGCAGCCACACUGGGACUGAGACACGGCCCAGACUCCUACGGGAGGCAGCAGUGGGGAAUUUUGGACAAUGGGCGAAAGCCUGAUCCAGCAAUGCCGCGUGUGUGAAGAAGGCCUUCGGGUUGUAAAGCACUUUUGUCCGGAAAGAAAUGGCUCUGGUUAAUACCUGGGGUCGAUGACGGUACCGGAAGAAUAAGGACCGGCUAACUACGUGCCAGCCGCCGCAGUAA